rnacentral:rRNA from 1 species
AUGAAAGAAGAUGAAGAACCUCGUGAGAUUUAUAGGAGAGUAACCAAACUCGCGGUCUCACUACGAGAUCACGGGAGCAAGGACACGGAUGACAAUUGGAUCAAGCGCAAAUUCCUCACGGCAAUGAUGCCCUAUCACAAGGCCAUGUCUUCCGUCAUUCGUCAAAGACCGGACUUCCACACUUUGACCUCAAGCGAAGUGUUGGAUGAGUUUGUGGCCAUGAACAUUUUGGACAAGACCGCCGACAAUGCGGUGCUUCGUUCUCAAAGGGCAAAGAGGCCUAACCUUGCAUUGAAGGCCAAGCUCACCGUUGAAGAAGAAGAAGAGGAAGAAGAGGAGAGCAACCCUGAAGAUACGAAGUAUGCAUAUCAUGAACACAUGGCACUUGCUUCAAGGAAAUUUUGGAGCAAGAAAAACUCGAGGCCAAACUUUAGCAAAAACAACUCAAGUGGCACGAGGGGCAAGCAACGUGUAAGGACUUGCUACAAUUGCGCCAACGUGAGUCAUUUUGUUGCAGAAUGCCCGUAUGAGAAGAGGGAAGACAAUGGUGGCAAGCUCAUCCGAAAGGACAAGGCCAAGUCGUUCCCCAAUAAGAGCAACUUCACCAAGAAGACGCCUCCCAGGGCAUUGGUGGUACAAGAAGAGUACAAUGAGGAUGAUGACGAUGAUGAAAGUGAUGGGUCGGUUGCCAUGGCCUCCGUUGCCAUUGCGAUGACUCCACGGGUGUCUUUCUUCGACUCACCCAAUGAAAGCAUCACCGCCAAGUGCCUCAUGGCUAAAGCCACCAACAAGGUAACCCCCAACAUCAAAACUACCAUCACUAAUCAUCCUUCUUCGACGGAUAGCAUUGAUGAACAUGAGGGAGCUAAUGUGGAGGCAAAUGAGUUUGAGGCCUUUAUGGGAAAACUUAAGGGUAAAUCCAAGAAGCACUUUGUUGCUCUCUUGGAACAACUUGGUGAAGCCAAUGACAUGAUCGAGGCUCACGAAGAUACCAUCACUAAGAUGGAAGGGCAUAGUCGUGACUAUGCCGAUGAGAUUUUAGAUCUUUCCAAUGCUCUUGAGGAAGAGCGUGGUCUUCGUUUGGCUCUUGAGGAGUCACACAACGUUGAUCAUGCUAAGUUAAAGAACGAUUAUGAUCAUGUUCUUGUUGUUUCUCGUGUGCUAAAUUCCGAGAAGGCCAAACUUGAGGUUGAUCUUGCUAGACUCAAAGAGGAGUUUGAUAUACUUGACAAGGCCCACAAGGCCUUGAAGGGUAUUCACGCUAGUCUCAAGGAGUCUCAUGAUCAACUUCAAGUGAAGCUAACUAAGGAGAAAGCCACAUUUCCUCAUAUGGUUUUAAUUGACAAUGCAAAUGCUACUAACCCGUGUUGUGAGCAUAUACAUCUUGUUGAGGAAAAUGCUAAGUUGAAGGAGCAGCUUGAGAAAGGCCUUGUGUCGUGCAUACAAGGUGAAAAGAACCUCAACGACCUUUUGAGUAGUCAAAAGGAAGUCGUGGCCAAGGAAGGGGUUGGGUACAUGCCCGACUCCAAGAACAAGAAGAAGAAUGACAAGACCAAACGGCCUCCUCCUCUCAUGCAAACCUUUGUGAAGGAGGAAGAGAGUGUGUCCAAGGAGAAGAAGAAGAACAUUGCAAAGGGCGGCAAUGUCAAGAAGGGCAAUGCCACCCCUCCCAACAAAGCCGGCGAUUUUAAUCCGUCUUAUGUGUUAUGCCGUGCUAGUGAUGGGCAUGUUUAUACCAAAUUUGUUGGUUCUCCUCAUGAAUACAUUGAAUGGUCUAUUUGGGUUCCAAAGACCCUUGUUACUAACAUCAAAGGACCCAUUACAAAAUGGGCACCUAAAACCAAGCAUUGA